AUUGAACGCUGGCGGCAUGCCUUACACAUGCAAGUCGAACGGCAGCACGGGAGCAAUCCUGGUGGCGGGUGGCGAACGGGUGAGUAAUACAUCGGAACGUGCCCAAUCGUGGGGGAUAACGCAGCGAAAGCUGUGCUAAUACCGCAUACGAUCUACGGAUGAAAGCAGGGGAUCGCAAGACCUUGCGCGAAUGGAGCGGCCGAUGGCAGAUUAGGUAGUUGGUGAGGUAAAGGCUCACCAAGCCGUCGAUCUGUAGCUGGUCUGAGAGGACGACCAGCCACACUGGGACUGAGACACGGCCCAGACUCCUACGGGAGGCAGCAGUGGGGAAUUUUGGACAAUGGGCGAAAGCCUGAUCCAGCCAUGCCGCGUGCAGGAUGAAGGCCUUCGGGUUGUAAACUGCUUUUGUACGGAACGAAACGGCCUUUUCUAAUAAAGAGGGCUAAUGACGGUACCGUAAGAAUAAGCACCGGCUAACUACGUGCCAGCAGCCGCGGUAAUACGUAGGGUGCAAGCGUUAAUCGGAAUUACUGGGCGUAAAGCGUGCGCAGGCGGUUAUGUAAGACAGUUGUGAAAUCCCCGGGCUCAACCUGGGAACUGCAUCUGUGACUGCAUAGCUAGAGUACGGUAGAGGGGGAUGGAAUUCCGCGUGUAGCAGUGAAAUGCGUAGAUAUGCGGAGGAACACCGAUGGCGAAGGCAAUCCCCUGGACCUGUACUGACGCUCAUGCACGAAAGCGUGGGGAGCAAACAGG
rnacentral:rRNA from 1 species